AUUGAACGCUGGCGGCAUGCCUUACACAUGCAAGUCGAACGGCAGCACGGGUGCUUGCACCUGGUGGCGAGUGGCGAACGGGUGAGUAAUACAUCGGAACGUACCUUAUCGUGGGGGAUAACGCAGCGAAAGCUGUGCUAAUACCGCAUACGCCCUGAGGGGGAAAGCGGGGGAUCGCAAGACCUCGCGCGACUAGAGCGGCCGAUGCCUGAUUAGCUUGUUGGUGGGGUAAAAGCCCACCAAGGCGACGAUCAGUAGCUGGUCUGAGAGGACGAUCAGCCACACUGGGACUGAGACACGGCCCAGACUCCUACGGGAGGCAGCAGUGGGGAAUUUUGGACAAUGGGGGCAACCCUGAUCCAGCAAUGCCGCGUGAGUGAAGAAGGCCUUCGGGUUGUAAAGCUCUUUUGUCAGGGAAGAAACACCGGCUCUAACACAGUCCGGGAAUGACGGUACCUGAAGAAUAAGCACCGGUUAACUACGUGCCAGCCGCCGCCGUAAAAC
rnacentral:rRNA from 1 species